rnacentral:rRNA from 1 species
AUUGAACGCUGGCGGCAGGCUUAACACAUGCAAGUCGAGCGGGGUGAUGGUGCUUGCACUAUCACUUAGCGGCGGACGGGUGAGUAAUGCUUAGGAAUCUGCCUAUUAGUGGGGGACAACAUCUCGAAAGGGAUGCUAAUACCGCAUACGUCCUACGGGAGAAAGCAGGGGAUCACUUGUGACCUUGCGCUAAUAGAUGAGCCUAAGUCGGAUUAGCUAGUUGGUGGGGUAAAGGCCUACCAAGGCGACGAGCUGUAGCGGGUCUGAGAGGAGGAUCCGCCACACGGGGACUGAGGCACAGCCCAGACUCCUACGGGAGGCAGCAAUGGGGAAUAGUGGACAAUGGGGGGAACCCUGAUCCAGCCAUGCCGCGUGUGUGAAGAAGGCCUUAUGGUUGUAAAGCACUUUAAGCGAGGAGGAGGCUCUUUUGGUUAAUACCCAAGAUGAGUGGACGUUACUCGCAGAAUAAGCACCGGCUAACUCUGUGCCAGCAGCCGCAGUAA